rnacentral:tRNA from 1 species
GUUCUUGUAGUUGAAUACAACGGCGGUUCUUCAAGCCGCUAGUCCCGGUUAAAGUCCGGGUAAGAAUU